GGGGAAUAUUGGACAAUGGGCGAAAGCCUGAUCCAGCCAUGCCGCGUGUGUGAAGAAGGCCUUUUGGUUGUAAAGCACUUUAAGCGAGGAGGAGGCUACUUGGAUUAAUACUCUAGGAUAGUGGACGUUACUCGCAGAAUAAGCACCGGCUAACUCUGUGCCAGCAGCCGCGGUAAUACAGAGGGUGCGAGCGUUAAUCGGAUUUACUGGGCGUAAAGCGUGCGUAGGCGGCUUUUUAAGUCGGAUGUGAAAUCCCUGAGCUUAACUUAGGAAUUGCAUUCGAUACUGGGAAGCUAGAGUAUGGGAGAGGAUGGUAGAAUUCCAGGUGUAGCGGUGAAAUGCGUAGAGAUCUGGAGGAAUACCGAUGGCGAAGGCAGCCAUCUGGCCUAAUACUGACGCUGAGGUACGAAAGCAUGGGGAGCAAAC
rnacentral:rRNA from 1 species